rnacentral:rRNA from 1 species
ACCGGCAAACGGGUGCGGAACACGUACACAACCUUCCUAUAAGUGGGGAAUAGCCCAGAGAAAUUUGGAUUAAUACCCCGUAACAUAACGAUGUGGCAUCACAUUGUUAUUAUAGCUUCGGCGCUUAUUGAUGGGUGUGCGGCUGAUUAGAUAGUUGGCGGGGUAACGGCCCACCAAGUCUACGAUCAGUAGCUGAUGUGAGAGCAUGAUCAGCCACACGGGCACUGAGACACGGGCCCGACUCCUACGGGAGGCAGCAGUAAGGAAUAUUGGUCAAUGGACGCAAGUCUGAACCAGCCAUGCCGCGUGAAGGAUUAAGGUCCUCUGGAUUGUAAACUUCUUUUAUCUGGGACGAAAAAAGGCUUUUCUAAGUCACUUGACGGUACCAGAUGAAUAAGCACCGGCUAACUCCGUGCCAGCAGCCGCGGUAAUACGGAGGGUGCAAGCGUUAUCCGGAUUCACUGGGUUUAAAGGGUGCGUAGGCGGGCAGGUAAGUCAGUGGUGAAAUCCUGGAGCUUAACUCCAGAACUGCCAUUGAUACUAUCUGUCUUGAAUAUUGUGGAGGUAAGCGGAACAUGUCAUGUAGCGGUGAAAUGCUUAGAUAUGACAUAGAACACCUAUUGCGAAGGCAGCUUACUACGCAUAUAUUGACGCUGAGGCACGAAAGCGUGGGGAUCAAACAGGAUUAGAUACCCUGGUAGUCCACGCCCUAAACGAUGGAUACUCGACAUACGCG